CCUACGGGUGGCAGCAGUGAGGAAUAUUGGUCAAUGGGCGCGAGCCUGAACCAGCCAAGUAGCGUGAAGGAUGACUGCCCUACGGGUUGUAAACUUCUUUUAUAAAGGACUAAAGUGAGGCACGUGUGCCUUUUUGUAUGUACUUUAUGAAUAAGGAUCGGCUAACUCCGUGCCAGCAGCCACGGUAAUACGGAGGAUCCGAGCGUUAUCCGGAUUUAUUGGGUUUAAAGGGAGCGUAGAUGGGUUGUUACGUCAGUUGUGAAAGUGUGCGGCUUAACCGUAAAAUGGCAAUUGAUACUGGCGGUCUUGAGUACAGUUGAGGUAGGCGGAAUUCGUGGUGUAGCGGUGAAAUGCUUAGAUAUCACGAAGAACUCCGAUUGCGAAGGCAGCUUACUAAACUGCCACUGACAUUGAUGCUCGAAAGUGUGGGGAUCAAACAGGAUUGGAUACCCGGGUAGUC
rnacentral:rRNA from 1 species